UUGUAACAGGUGCUCCAAUGAGCAAAUAUCCAGGUUAUCCAUGUACAACUACCAAAGCUGGGCCUGGAAUAUCAGACGCUUCCCUGGUUCACAUGCUCAGACCUCUCUCACCGAUGUUGGUGCCGGAAGAUGAUGGAGGAUGGGACUCUGCUGGGGAUCACAUGUCCACCCCUAGGACUCCCUUCUACAUGGGUUGACUCUUCCACUGGACCUUUGAAGCCCUUUAAAGCUAUUUUGCCCGAAGAAAAGGACGCAGUGGAGCAUAGCAUUUUUCUUUUUCAAAUAAACUCAAGC